GGCAAAACGAGGUAUCGUGGUCGUUUUAGAUCGAGAGUUUCUGGUCUGGUUUACCAGAAACCUUGAGUGAUCCAUUUCUUCUUUAUUUGAGCACAAAACUGGUAAACGUGAUUGUACUUUACCUUUCAGUCAAGCUUGUAACCAAUCAAACAUCGCAACGGAUAUCUGAAACUGAUGGAAGCGAGGAAAGUACAUUUAUAGAUGCAACGGCCAAUGUCGUAAGUCGGCUCCCGAAAGUCUUAAGCUGAUCCUUCCAUUCAAAUACAUCCUGAGCACACGAAGCCAGACACCUGGAAUCAGCAGAAAAUAGCUUCAGCUGAUCCUCCCGUCUAAACACCUCUGAGCACAGAAGCCAGUCACUUGGAAUCAGCAGAAAAUAGCUUCAGG